rnacentral:ncRNA from 2 species
CUCUUAUCAAGAGUGGCGGAGGGAUAGGCCCUGUGAUGCCCGGCAACCAACAGACGAUUUUGUCUGGAAAGGUGCUAAUUCCUACAGAACCGGAGUUAUAGGUUCUGACAGAUAAGAG